rnacentral:rRNA from 1 species
GGGGAAUAUUGGACAAUGGGCGAAAGCCUGAUCCAGCAAUGCCGCGUGAGUGAUGAAGGCCUUAGGGUUGUAAAGCUCUUUUACCCGGGAUGAUAAUGACAGUACCGGGAGAAUAAGCCCCGGCCAACUACGUGCCAGCAGCCGCGGUAAUACGUAGGGUGCGAGCGUUGUUCGGAUUUACUGGGCGUAAAGGGCGCGUAGGCGGCGCGGUAAGUCACUUGUGAAAUCUCUGAGCUUAACUCAGAACGGCCAAGUGAUACUGCAGUGCUAGAGUGCAGAAGGGGCAAUCGGAAUUCUUGGUGUAGCGGUGAAAUGCGUAGAUAUCAAGAGGAACACCUGAGGUGAAGACGGGUUGCUGGGCUGACACUGACGCUGAGGCGCGAAAGCCAGGGGAGCAAA